GAAGAGAUGGCUCAGUGGUUAAGAGCACUUGUUCUUCCAGAGGACCUGAGUUCGAUUCUCAGCUUCCACA
rnacentral:tRNA from 1 species